rnacentral:tRNA from 1 species
GGAGAGAUGGCCGAGUGGUUGAAGGCGCUGGUCUUGAAAACCAGUGAUGCUGCAAGGCACCGGGGGUUCGAAUCCCUCUCUCUCCGCCA